GUGAAUCUAACUCUAGAUCUAACCAGCAUAUAAGGAAAUAAGGAAAAAAACUAAACCAAAUGCGAAUUAGGUGCAUUUCCAUCACGUUGUUUGAGUGGAUGAUGGUGGUAACCACCAACAGUUAAUAAAACAGGGCAAUUUAUUCUGCAAAAACAUUUCCAUCUCCUAUUAUUCGCAUGAUUAUUAUAUAUUUUUUAGAGCUAGGCAAGUUAACGCGUUAUUAUCGUGUUAACACAUUAAUUGAUUAACGGCAAUAAUAAUUUUAUUGCACGUUAACACAGUUUUUUUUUAUUAUUAUGAAAGUCCGCUGCUCACUGGCUCUGAAUACACAUACAGAUAAAUCAUGGUCACAGGAGGGGAUGCUCUCGAUCAAAUUAUUUAGGCUAUGCAUCAACAUUCACAAACCACUGUCCACUGUUAUUUUUAACAGUAAAGAAUGCAACAAGCUCAUAAUCAUGACUUUAUUAAGUUAAAUUGGAAAUAGGAAGUUUCUGAUAGCACAUGAAGACAGCAGAGAAGCGGUCUCGCUCAACACAGUGGAGUGCAUUGUUUUGUUCACUUUAUGGUUUAUUAUUUUGAGUUGUAUGGGACACAGUAACACACGGCCCUCUCACAAUAUAUUGCUCUACAGAUCUAUCACUUUUGCUGCUCAUAAAUAUUCACACAAUCAUGCAGCACGCAUCAGAAGAUCUGUGCUCCAGUGCGGUUAGUGCUCUCACUCACUGAUCUAUAUAUAACUGAACCACGCUCUUGCCCACCUCUUCCAACCGAACCAGGGACUGCUGAACAGGGUCAAACGAACGCACUCUGCUGCGAUGGGUGCCGUGAUCGUGCAGGUCUCUAAUAGGAAGGUGCCUGUAAUAAUGUUAUGAUCAAGGAUCUGGACUAUGAGCAUCUUUUACUUUAACAAUCUAUAAAAUAUAUUAAUUUUUAUACUGCCAUGUCCUGGCACUGACCAAUAUCUUGUUUUUAAUUUAAUUGCAUUAAUGUUAUAAGUUAAGAUUUACAAGAAAUAUUUGAACAACUUCUAUGUAAAAGGAAAACUGCUGUAAAAACACCUUAUUUGUUUAAAGUGUUUGCGAACCAAAUGUUCUUGCACUUUUGUUCAUAAAACAGUGCUUUUAAAUGAAAAAGUGCACAAUACACUAUUUUUGAAUACAUUAUUAUUUUGUGUAUAACUAUGUGAUUAAUUGCAAUUAAUCACAGACAAUUGUGAUUAAAAAUAAAUAAUUAAAUAAUCGCUGCCCAGCAGUAAUUUUGUUUUUGUUUUUGCACAAGUCAAAAAACACCUCAAGUGAGUGUAAAAACUCCUUUGCCAAUUAAGGGACACCCCCCCC